rnacentral:rRNA from 1 species
CCCUUGUACACACCGCCCGUCACACCAUGGGAGUUGGCUUUACCCGAAGGUGGUGCGCUAACCGCAAGGAGGCAGCCAACCACGGUAGGGUCAGCGACUGGGGUG